rnacentral:lncRNA from 1 species
CAUCACCUUACUCCAAGUACAAUCAUGUUGAAACAGAAAUUUGACUGCAUGCCGAGCAAUCAGGACCUCACACCUCACCACAAGGGACUGAAUGCCUAAUUUUUUCUCUCCAAUCGGCUGGCAGACCACAUCAUAUGCCAACAGGUGAACUCCACCACCACCUUGGUGAGAUCCCCCCAGAAAGUGCCUGAACUACUACUCGAUCUUUGCCAUCACCACUUUCAGAAUGAUGGUGUCGGACAUCAUGUAAACCAAGAUUGAGCUAAGUACCGAUCUAACCAAAGUAACUCUGCCCAUUAUAGAUAAGCAUUUGGCCUGCGAACCCACC